rnacentral:rRNA from 1 species
AUACGGAGGGUGCAAGCGUUGUCCGGAUGUAUUGGGUUUAAAGGGUGUGUAGGCGGUGUAUUAAGUCAGUGGUGAAAGCCUGCGGCUCAACCGUAGAACUGCCAUUGAUACUGACACACUUGAGUAUGGACGAGGUAGGCGGAAUUUAUGGUGUAGCGGUGAAAUGCAUAGAUACCAUAAAGAACACCGAUAGCGAAGGCAGCUUACUAGGCCAUAACUGACGCUGAGGCACGAAAGCGUGGGGAGCGAACAGGAUUAGAUACCCCAGUAGUCC